rnacentral:lncRNA from 1 species
UUUUAAUUCUUGUUUUGGUUGAUCUAAAUGAAGUUAUGAUUUAGAGAAAUUUUCUGGGGUGGGGGGAGGAGAUAUAUGGUGUACGAUGGACUGUGAAUAUCAUAAUGGAAAUUAGAGAAUGAAAGAAAAAUUGCCCCAAAUCCCACCCUUCCAAUAAUUCUCCUGUGCUUAUUUUUUUUAAGAUUUUAUUUAUUUAUUCAUGAGAGACACACAGAGAGAAAGAGAGAGAGAGAGAGAGAGAGAAAGGCAGAGACACAGGCAGAGGGAGAAGCGGGCUCCAUGCAGGGAGCCAGAUGUGGGACUCGAUCCCGGGACUCCAGGAUCAUGCUUUGGGCCAAAGGCAGGCGCUCAACCGCUGAGCCACCCAGGGAUCCCCUCCUGUGCUUAUUUAAAAAAUUUUCCCGUUGGGGGCACCUGGGUCGUGCAGACCAUUGAGCUUUGGGCUCUUGGUUUUGGCUCAGGUCGUGAUGUCAGGGUCAUGAGAUCAAGCCCUACCUGAGGGCCCUGCACUCAGUAAGGAGUCUGCUUAAGAUUCUCACUGCCUCUCUCUUUGCCCCUGCCCCCUGCUCUCUUCCUCUCUCUCUAAAAUAAAUAAAUCUUUAAUAAAAAUAAAAAUAAAAAUUUCCCUGUGAUACUUGUCCAAAUGUUCAUGUAAUUUAUAUGUAGUUUUAAUUAUAGGACAGAAAUAACAUUGCAUAUGGCCUGUUUCACUUCAUAGUAUAUGCGUGCUGCUGUGUGAUCUUUCUAAUUAUAGUUUUUUAAUGAUAGAAAUGUUCCCAUCACGUCAUUAUACAGUAAUUUAUUAUCACUGAGCAUGUAAGUUCUUGCAUGUAAGUUUUUCAAUAUUAUAGAUCAUUUUGCAAUGAACAGUUUGGGGGUAUAUAGAGCUUUUUCCUUGGGGGAAGAACAGUUUGCUCAGAUAAAUUCUCAGGGGUAAAAUUAUUGACUCAAAGCAGGUGAACAUUUUUCUAGCUCUUAAAAUAUAUUGCUAUAUUACCUUAAACAAGAUAUUGCUAUAUUUAUUUCAAAAACAUAUAUGCUGAUGCAUAUCGCCCCCUGAGUCAAUUUGGAAACCAACUACCUUAGGAUGAUGAAGCCCUUCGUGUUCUGGCACCUUCUGGUUCCCCAGUCUCCAUUUUCCUGUGCCAUACCCACUCCCACUUUAUCCUCUCAAAGUACCGAUCUUUCCAUUCCUAGAAUGUUUCAUGUUGUAUUUCUGAGAACGUGCCUUCACACCUACUGUCCCCUUUGUCUGCAGCUCUCAUCCCUGUUAUGUCAUCCUUCAAGCCUCAGCUUGGCUGUUUUGUCCUCCAGGGUAUAAUCCAUCCUUUCUAUCUUAUGGCCCCUACAUUCAUUCUAUCACUGUUUUUAUGAUUUGGUCACUGCUUGGGUAUUUUUCUGUUUCUUCACGUGUACACGGCAGUGUCUAUCUUGUUCUGUGUUGGACUUAUCAUGUCUAGCACUCAUAGAACUCAGUAACUACUUAAUAAAUAAAAAAACUAAACUAACCUCCCUCCGUCCCCUCCCCCCCCACAAAGAAACAUGGAGGAGAAAUCUAAUUUGCCAGCAAGGCAAUUUGCUAUUAGACAUUUAAUGAAAAACAUUUAUUGAGUAGAAGAUGUGGAGUUAGAUACUAUAGCUAUAGAAACUAGUAAGACAAAAAUUCUUGGGGUCCUUGCCUUUAUUUUAUUUUAUUUUAUUUUAUUUUAUUUUAUUUUUUAAAUUUUAAAACAUUUUUAAAGUAGACACCACACCCAGUGUGGAGCCUCAUGUGGGGAUUGAACUCACCACUGUGAGAUCAAGACCUGAGUUGAGAGGCACUAGAGUGGGUCAGUGGUUGAGCAUCUGCCUUUGGCUCAGGUCCUGGGGUCCUGGGAUCAAGUCCCACAUCAGGUUCCCUGCAUGGAGCCUGCUUCUCCCUCUGCCUGUGUCUCUGUGUGUCUCUCUCUGUCUCUCAUGAAUAAAUAAAUAAAAUCUUAAAAAAAAAAAAAAAAAAAAAAA